rnacentral:rRNA from 1 species
GGGCCAUACCAUUUUGAAUAUACCGGUUCUCGUUAGAUCACCGAAGUCAAGCAUCAUUGGGCGCGGUCAGUACUUGGGUGGGUGACCACCUGGGAACACCGCGUGCCGUU